AGUAUCUUAACUGUCUCUUGUCCAGUUGGACGCUCUGUGUCCAGCAGUGGAAGAACUGAGGAGACUGACAACAUCGCCUCCUGGUGGUCACAUGGCCAUUCUGCAGGCUGCCGUGGAGAAAGCUGAACUGGGGGCGGAGUCUACCCGUGACCUCACAGCCAGGGCGGGGAGAGCCAGCUACAUCGCCACGGUACGCGUGACCCUUCCUGACCCCGGCGCCGUGGCGAUAGCUGCCAUCUUGAGAGCGGUGUUCGAAGCCCUGGGAGGACAGAAGUGAUGUCAGACAGACGUUGUUGUCAUCGUUACAGCUGUAACGCAUGGUGAUCUGUUUGAAAAUGUGAUAAUAGAUAUUGUGAAAAGCAAGAUAUGGUUGAUGUCAAAUCAUAUUAUCCAUGACAUGGAAUCGUGAAUCUGACAAGGGAUGAUUUCAUAAUGUAAAUCUGAUAACUAUGGAGUCUUAACCAGUGAAUCAUAGCAAUGAGGAGUCUUAACCAGUGAAUCAUAGCAAUGAGGAGUCUUAACCAGUGAAUCAUAGCAAUGAGGACUCUUAACCAGUGAAUCAUAGCAAUGAGGAGUCUCAACCAGUGAAUCAUAGCAAUGAAGACUC